UGUAUGUUAUGUUUUGUUGUUGUUGUUGUUUUCUGCAAAAUAUCUGCUAAGAAGCCUUAAAAAUGUGGGGAACUAACACUUGGCACUUUGUCAACAGAGAGGAGCAGUGAACACACUUCAGAGGAUUCCAGAUGUGUGCCCUGAAGGAGAGCACAUUUUCCCUCUGCUGGAGGGUGGAAGCAGCUGUGUGCAUAAGCUAUAAGGAGGACUUGUGGAGAAAUGCAAGUACAGUAGCCGGGCGAUGCUGGCUGAGGGCGAAGGCAUGGCCGGUCCCUCGCUGUGUGCUGCCGCCUCGGCGGCCUCUCCGGACCGGCACAAGGUGCCCGCCUUUGGGGAGAGUAAAACCUCACACUGCUCCUUUUCCAUCGAGAGUAUAUUGGGACUGGAGCAGAAAAAAGAUGGCAUUCCAGCUGGGAAACCUCACAGACCCUGGAUGGAUGCGUGCACCAGCUUGGUUUUAGGUGAUGACAGUAAUCCCCACCUGCAAAUCCCUGUUGUUUGCUAUGAAAAUCCAUUAUUUCAUGCUAGAAGUGAUCCAGUGCAGGAGGAAAACGUUUUGAAAUGUGAAAAAUAUUUUUCAGUCACUGAAAGGCUGUCUUUCAAACGAGAAUUGAGCUGGUAUAGGGGUAGAAGACCAAGAACUGCAUUCACUAGAAACCAGAUUGAAGUCUUGGAAAAUGUUUUUAAAAUGAACUCCUACCCUGGCAUUGAUAUUAGAGAAGAGUUAGCUCGCAAAUUAGAUUUAGAUGAAGACAGGAUCCAGAUCUGGUUUCAGAACCGUCGUGCAAAGCUGAAAAGAUCCCACAGAGAAUCUCAGUUUCUAAUGGUGAAAAAUACUUUCACCUCCAGCCUGCUGGAGUAGAAGGAAGGAUGGCUUGCUGUUACAGUACUGCUACAGAAAAUGAAGAAUUAUUCAAAACCUGUAUUAAAGCUCUAAGCACUUGCCUCAUGUGCUGGUGACCUUCAGGGAGACUCCAGCCUGUGUUUCCUGCUCGACAUAAGUUCUGCAUUAUCUCAUGAACAGAGAGUAUUGCUCUUCCUUUCUUCAUGCUUGUAUCCAUAGCUGUUGUCCAAUAGGAUGAAAGGUAAGUUGAUAAAAUAGGGUGAUAGAAAAAAUCAUUUUAUGUAGUCUCAUACUAGGAAAAGCUAAAGGGAGGGAUGAUCUGACAGUCCUUACUUAGUAUUUUGAACUAUAGUUUGAGCUAGAAGAGAUUAAAUAGAAAACAUUUCUUUAGUUUCUGAAGAAUAUCACUGAAAAACUGCAUUACUUUAGAACUGGGUGACAGAUAUUGGCCCUUCCAUGAUUUUAUCUUCAUUAGUUCAUUGCCUUCACUUCUAUGCAGAAUCCUAAGAAUCUUUAAUUGUUUGGCUUUGCUCCUGGAAAUCUUAAUACGGAAAUAACAAACUUUUAUCUGAUAUUGAAACAUUAUUUUUUGUGCUUUAUUGGAUUUGGGAAAUAACAUUCCUAACUGAAUUCUGUUGUAUCCUGCAUUCCAAAAUACUUAAGAGAACCACUAGUAAAGCAAUUUAAAUUGAGACAGAUCCUUUAGGAAUAGUUCUUAGAGAAGCUGAAAUCUCAAUUCAGCUACCUGCCUGAUCUGGUAAAGGCAAAGACACUAUUAGGAAUGCAUUCUUUUAUUUUGUUUUUCUUCACACCUCAAAACGUAUAUUGCCCAUAGCUUAACCUUAUUGCAGGUAAUCUGAAACUAUUGUCUGCUUUGCUUCUGGAAACAAAGUUUCCAGCAGCAACAGAUUAGACUAAUCUGUACAGAUUGAUUGCUUAAGAACCUUACUCUAUUAUCUGGCAAAUACCUAAAUACACCUAAAGUCUGCUCUAAUGGAACUUGUCUCAAGUGACGGAAGUCUGACAAAGCAAUUUAAGAGAAGCAGUAGAAUAGUAGCAGAAUAAUAAUAGCACCAGCCCUGCUAUCCUGCUCUCCAUUAGCAAAAGUUACCAGCAGGAUCUUUAGUGUGAGGUGCUAGGAGUGUCCCACACAGUGCUAAGGGGAAUAGAAUUUAAAAGCAGAGUUGCAUUAUUUCCUUCAUUUGGCUUUAGCUUGUCCUUCCCAGAGUAAAGGAAUCAGCAAGGCAAAAAAGAGCCUCUCACUUUACAUUUAUACCUACUUUGGCCAGGAUGGAUUUAAAUUUCUCAAAUACAGCUGGUUUUUUUUUUUCUACCAUGCAAAGUAUUAGUCUGGACCUCACAGGGUCUUUGUCUUGCCGUGGCAAUAUGCAGAGCUCCCUUGGCAAUGGAUGUGACAGUUGUGUGUCCUGUGCAGGAACUGCAGUGGGGAAGGCUGUGUUUACAGGACACCCUGCAUGGAAUCCAGCCCUGCUCCAGUUUUGCAUGCUUUGCCUUGCAGUGUUUCUGCUUGUCUCUCUGCCCUUCAGAAAAUCUCAGUCUCUUUUGUUCUAGUUCUGGCUUAAGCUCAUGAAACCACAAAUUUUGCUUCCAGCCGUGUUGCCUUGCUUUGGCUCCAGUGAUCAUUUUGACCCUUGUGAUAAGCUGAUACAUUAACUAAGAUGGUGAAAAACUGUUCUAGCAAAGAAAGAACUCUCUCACUCACCUGUCAUGUCAACAGCCAUGAGCAGGUACAAUAUUGGCUCUGUCAGGUUGAUACUGGGUCUCUGUCUCUGACUGUAGUGGGGCCUAAAUAUUCUUGUAGUGUUUUUCUGGGAUAGGUCCAGUACCUGUGAUCCUAACUGGGAUGCUGGGCUGCAUAAUAAUUUGUUUUAAAUUGAUGUUCUUCUCUUAAUUACUGUCUCCAUAUUAAAUUUUCUCUAACUACAAAUUUCAGCAAUGCCCAGUGUUGUCCAAGAAAGCUGAGCCAUGUCUGUGGUCCAAAAGCAGAUUCACAGUAAUUUAUACCAAAGAGUCAAUGUUCCCAAAGUUCUGUUGUGAAUUUACUUGAAGCAUACAUAAAAGCAUAGUUUAAACUUCCAUGUUAGCAUCAAAAGCCCAGAUUGAAAUAGCAUUCAUGAAAUUGUCAUUUAACACUUUGAAUUUGCAAUUAUUUAGUUUGUCAAGUCUGUGCUUACAAAUAGCUAGCUAGCACACCAGCAAACUACAUGUUAUGAUUUUUCUGGUGUGUGUGGAUACAUCUACACCUAAUUUUCUACUUGUUCAAAGUUUUUAUUGGAGAUACUUCUGAAUAGUUUAAACCUGUGAGUUCUAUAGUUGUAUGUAAGAAGAUUAACAUUGUGCUCAAAGUGUUAUUAGAAGGAAGUGUGACUUCAAAAAUAAUCCAGCAUUUUUUAUGUGACUGGAUUUUAACAGAAGCCUUGUAUAAAAGCAGUGUGAAAUAAUUUGCAAAUGCCUUCAGUUUAUCUAACAUGAAAAGAAGCUUAUCCUAAACGAUUGAGAUCAGCUCUCAGGUUUAACUAACAGUCAUAAAAUUAAGGCUUCCUAGAAAUUGGUUGUAAAACAACUCUUUUAUUCCUUAGAUUGAUUUAGUUUCUGUAUUAAUUGUUAGGUUGAUGAUCUUUGUCACUUUAUUUUAAAGGAUGUACAUAAUUGGAUGGGAAAUAUAAGGUAUUUUAUUUUAAAAAGUACUUUGGAGCUAUAGUGAUUGGCAUGAAUUAUUAUUUCAUGAACUGUUAUUUGUGUAAUGGAUUCAUCUUGAGUCAAAAUCCCAUUCUGUUAUUUUACAUGAACUAUUUAUAAUAUCUUAUGUAUGUAUUUGGUAAUGAAAGAGUAAAAAGACAAAGUAUAAUAAUCAUUAUAUGGGGGGAGCUGGGGCUGUUCAACCUCUUGCGGGGCAUAAGGAUCCCUCUGAUUGCUUCACAAGGGGAACUCUUGUGGUCACAGUGGGCAAACAGGACUGUUGGUGAGGGAGAGGAAUCCAGGGCUGCUUAACAGCCUUCAGUUCUAGAUUCCUUUGUGGAGGAAUAGUGCCUGCACUUGUGUGACAUGAGGGGAGAGGGCUACACAGAAAAUCUGGAAACCAGCCUGUCUGUUUUGGGCACCCAAAGUCGAUACUGGUGGCCAGCAGCAUUUUCAGGAGAAUCCCAGGAAGAGUGAAGUGUUGCCUUGCAUGGCCCAGUGUUACCAAUGGAGUUUUGCUUUCUUAGAUUAACUAGCAAAUUGGAAAAUUAAUCAUGUACUUGUUGAGAGUAGAAACAGCAAUAAAUUGGAUUUCUUUUAAUACCUGUUUUUUUGUGCAGGACAGUGUUUAUUAAGCAAGUAAGAUAAGAACAUGCUCAGAAAUGCUUAGGGAUAUCUGGGCUUUGGUGUGGCUGGGUGUGAUUGCCAAUGACUUUCACACCCCUGGAUAUGAGUUAUAUUUGAUGUGCUGUGGGGCUGGUACUAGAGUGACAGAAUUAGUACUGCAUUGCUUGUGCCUUAAAAAAAUAAAAGGAAAAAAAGAGAACAAAAAGCAGUGAAAGGAUAGAUUUUGCAAGUGUGUUUUGAUCCAUGUUGUGCAUCAGUGGGUGUGAAGUCCAGCAUCUUGAGCAAACAGAGUAUGUUGAGGAAUCACAGGUGCAGGUAGUGCUCUUGAUAUUAAAUGUCAAGCAGGGUCAUGUGGCUUGGGAUGUUGUAAGGAUGUUUAUAUGUGACCAG